ensembl:lncRNA
ACUAUAGCAGUGAAAAAUAAUCAUACUGUUAAUAUGUGAAAUACAACACAGUAUCAACGAAGUAUCAACACCAUGUCAACUGUGUUCCUUUUCAUUAUUAUUUUUUUUUUUUUAAAAACUCAUAAAUAUAAAUGAUAGAUUAUACUACUUUCAUACAGUUUACAAUAAUGACCAACCACAGUUUUAUCCAAUUUAAUCACUUUAUUGGAAUAAUUUUACACAUACAAAAUGAAACCAUGACAGGCACAUUUGUUGCAGCGAUGAAAUAAACAUGAUUAUUAGAACAAUAAAAGUUGCAGAUUUAAGCUUAUAUAGCACAAAUAUUAAACCUAUAUAAUCAAGCUUAACGAGUGUGCUUCCUCUGUAGCCUCAGGAUUAAGAAUGCUAUGAUUCCUGUAAACAAUGUUAUACAAGCUUUAGACCUGAUUAUAAAAAUCAGGAAGUAGGCUGAAAAGCAGGCCUAUGUCCAAUGAAAUUCUCUCCUGUCCACAGGUGUGGUGUCUCUCCUCCCAUAGGGAGGCACCAAUUAGCAUGUUGUUAAUAUGUGAACAGGGGGAGGAGAGGAGGUUUCACUUUACUCAGAGCACUUUCUCGGUACAGGGACAAGCUGUAUUUUCUGGCAUUUACCUGCUUUAUUAAAUGUUCAUCUUAUUUGGAAGUGGAAUAACUGGAAAGUGGAGACUUUACAGAUUCUGGUGGUGUUUUUGUUGAAUGGGUAUGAUCAAAUCCUACCAGUUUAUGAAGAGAAAGAGACAAGAGAUGUUCACCUGACCAUGCUGAAUAUCAUCGGCGAUGCUCUCGACCUCAAAGAGUUAACACACCCUCCUUCGUUCUACUGGAACGGCACAGAGCACACAUGUCACGCUGUGACUACAAGCCACAAGCCCUUCUUGGCAGUGGAGGACAUGCUUCCAAAUAAAGCAGUGUGUGCCAACCAUUACCAGAACAUCUUCAGAGAAUGGUUGCACAUGUAUUGGACCCUAACAGUCAACCGAAGGAACAUAUUGUUUCUGUUGUUAUGUUCUGAUUUUUUGUCUUUAGGAUUGUCAGAAGAAGUUGAAGCAAUGGUGAAAUAAAAUAAUGUAGUAUCACAGAAUAUAAACCUUAUAGAUUCUAGGCUCUGAUAUGUUUCUCAGCUCUCAGGGGUGGGGGGCUGAGUCAAACCUGUUGAAAAACCGGUUUAGCUCUUCUGCAUGUUCCAGGCUGCCCUCCAUGGCUGGUCUGGAAUUUUUAAGUCCAGUAAUCCUGUUCAUGCUGUCCCAUACCUCUUUGGCACAGUUUUUUUUUCCAGCUUGCACAGUUUUUUUCCAGCUAGCCUCUCCCAGUAGCUGUUUUUUGCUUUCCUCAGCCACACCCCCCAGCUCAUUUUGGACUGACCUGACCUCCUCACUGUCUCCUGCCAUGAGUACCCUCUUUUUUCCUGCUUAGGAGGGCUUUAAUGUCAUUGUUGAUCCAUGGCUUGUUGUUUGAAAAACAGCGGACCUUCGUUGUGGGUAUGAGGCUGUACUAUUCCUACUCUUUCCAUUUCUUCCGUCAUGUCCUUUCUUUCUACUUUAUAUUUUCUGCAGCACAUGUUCUACAGAUUCUGCCGUCUGGCAAUGAUCACAAACCAGCUGGCUGCUUCCUUAUAAUGUGAAGUGAACUAUUCUGUGUAUUAUUCUCAAUCUAGUCAUGAUUGUCUCCUCUUUUCUGUUUCUUCCCUUACUUUCCACAAUACCGAUUCUACAAUGCCCUCCAUUAAUAUUGGCACCAUGAAUUCAUAGGGGUGCCAAUAAUUGUUGCACAUACACACCUAUAUUUAACAAGGUGGUUUUUUUUGUUUGUUUUUUUAAAUAUAUAUAAACCUGAGUUGUAUUUCAAUUGUUUGAUGUCCAUGAGAGCAGAGUAUUUCUGUGAAUUUUUUUAAUGCUCAUAUUUACCAAGGGUGCCAAUAUUAAUGGAGGGUGCUGUGUAUCAUUAUGGAGUAUAAAUGUCUUCCUUUUAUCUCCCGGUCCCACUGCUGCUUCCACUAACAAUUUCCUUCUGGCUUUGAGAGACUCAUGUCUGUUUUCUUCUCUCCUUUUUUCCCCAGUAUGUUUGGCUAGUUUGUCCACUCUUCCAUUACCCAUAAUGCCUAGUGUGAACCCAAAUGAAUAUGAAUUCAUCUAUAGAUAUUUCUAUUGAGUAAAUGAUUGAGAAAGUCAAUUUUCAUUGUGGUUUUGUUUGACUUUAUUAACAGGCACCGUUCCAAAGAUGAUCAAAUGUUUGCUUGUCCAAAUAUGUCAAAAAGUCAACACUUUCCAUGGGGUGUACUUAUUUUUUCACACGACUGUAUAUCCUUACAUUGAUCACUUAUGUACACUUAUCCUCCACAUGUAUAAUAUAUCCUCUCUCUGCGUUAAUCUCGAGUCAAAAUGCCAUCCCAAAAAACACCGCUUUCAACUCUCUCCAAGUUACCUCCAUAUUGUUUCAGAUGAUCACCUUCCGGGGGUUCUUUCUUGUGAAAGGCAUCGAUUUGGUCUUUUCCACCGAGAAUGUAAAUCCCCACCUCGUCCCCCACAUUUCAACCUGUUUGACCCCAUCUUGUAUUGUCUUAACUAUGUUCUACAUUCCUCCCUCUCUUCCUCGGAGCCCUCAGACUCAUCCGCAAACAGGAAAUCAGUGAUCCUUCCGUAUCCAUUUAAAUAUCAGGCUCCAAUCCAUUUUUAUAGCCAUGAAUGAUUACCACAAGAGUCUUUAUCAUUGCCCAAAUGUUUUCAUGUGCCUUACAACACUGUUGUGGGUGUGGUCUAGUUUCAAAAUCUACCUGGUGUCAGAAAGAACUUGGUAAGUCCACAGACGAAUGAGAACUUCUUAAACAUACGCCUCUAUAAAGAACAGAAAUCAAACAAAACUUUUACUGUGUUUAUUCAAUGAUUCUUGGAUGG